GACGAACGCUGGCGGCGUGCUUAACACAUGCAAGUCGAGCGGUAAGGCCCUUUCGGGGGUACACGAGCGGCGAACGGGUGAGUAACACGUGGGUGACCUGCCCUCAGCUCUGGGAUAAGCCGUGGGAAACCGGGGUCUAAUACCGGAUAUGACUCCAUGACGCAUGUUGUGGGGUGAAAGCCUUGUGCGGCUGAGGAUGGGCCCGCGGCCUAUCAGCUUGUUGGUGGGGUGAUGGCCUACCAAGGCGACGACGGUAGCCGGCCUGAGAGGGCGGCCGGCCGACACUGGGACUGAGACACGGCCCAGACUCCUACGGGAGGCAG
rnacentral:rRNA from 1 species